ACCCCCGGAUUGGAGGGACGGCGGCCUUCCUCCCGACUGCCUCCGCCGUGACUCCAGGUACCCACCUCCACUUCACGGUCGUUCACUAACAUGGGCACCACCGCCUCCCCCGUGCUUCCUCCCGACUGCUUCUCCUUGUGUGGUUGGGAACCAGCCCCCGUGCACUGCUUCAGCGCAGUCCCCGUCCAGACCUAGGUCGAGUGCGGAGUGUCGCUCCAGUUGUACUUCGGCGCUGCGGCAUGUGGUAGGGAUGCAGAAGGAACACCUCGGCUUUGGCGGGCAAGCACACCACGAGGUCGUGUUCAUCUUUUAUAUUCUACGGAUGUGUUCUGCUCUCCUCCAUUUUCAACUGAACGUGCUGCCAUGUGUGGAUUUCCCCUCUAACUCCACAACAAGUUGAAUCCCGAAAAUUAUAAUGGAGUGUUUUUGUUCCUAGAUCAGUUGCUCAACGACAGAAUUGUGUAUCGCACAGUACAUAUAUUACUACUAUGAAGGUUCAGAAAUAAGAACUCAAAGAAGUAUUGAUAGCAUAGCUACUGUAUAUUCAAGGAGUCGGGUUUUGCUCCUGCGCCAUCUCG